CUGUGACAUCCAAACUGACAAACCGUGGUUGAUUCUAACUUGCUUAUUUGAAAUAAAUAAAAAUGUGAACACCAUUUCAAACCUUGGGUUCACAUCUCAGUUUAUUUCAAGUAGGCAGGUGAGAAUAAACUAACAUCAGUUACGACCAAUCUUGGUUUGUUCUUAACUUCAGUUGGAAGUAGGAUUCUUAUGAUUCAUGUGUGAGCCAGGGAGAGGGGUGUAUGUGCUCCUUAUGCUAGGAAAUGUUAGAACCAAUGUUUAAUGUUCAUGACAUAUAAACCUGGCGACAGUUUCACUAUGUUUGGGAUCUUAACAAGAAUCAGUGCAACAAACUAUGGCUAGUGCCAUAGUAUUAAGUCUCUACCAGGUCUAAUGAAGCACUGCCACGAAGCCUGACCUGCUGAAGUGCAGGUCAGUGCAGGUCCAGUUAAAAAACUGGUGUGAAUAGGUCAGUCCCUGGUUCAGAUGUUGAACUUACUAGGUUGCUUUAGGCACUCUGUUUCAACUGCAUUCCCCUUCUGCAAUGCGGGAAACGUAAUACUGAACUAACAUACAAGACUAUGGUUGCAUUUAGAAGACAAAUACUUGAGUUUGGGAAGUUACCUUUCAAAACACCAUCCAAUGAAAUUGAGAAGUUCCUGAGAAGAGAGAAUUUGACACUUACAUUAUUUUCUUGCCUGCUGAUCUUGUGAAGUAUGUACGUUCAGAUGGUGUGGGAGAAAGAUCUCUUGUCCUGAAAAUAAGUAGUAAAUCUAUAUUUAACAAGCA